GACAGAGGGUGCAAACGUUGUUCGGAAUUACUGGGCGUAAAGCGCGUGUAGGCGGCCAUCUAAGUCGGGCGUGAAAUCCCACGGCUCAACCGUGGAAGUGCACUCGAAACUGGAUGGCUAGAGUCCUGGAGAGGAAGGUGGAAUGCUUGGUGUAGAGGUGAAAUUCGUAGAUAUCAAGCGGAACACCGGUGGCGAAGGCGGCCUUCUGGACAGUGACUGACGCUGAGACGUGAAAGCGUGGGGAGCAAACAGG
rnacentral:rRNA from 1 species